rnacentral:rRNA from 2 species
CCUACGGGAGGCAGCAGUCGGGAAUUUUGGGCAAUGGGCGAAAGCCUGACCCAGCAACGCCGCGUGAAGGAUGAAAUCCCUCGGGAUGUAAACUUCGCAAGAACGGGAAGAAUAAGUAAGAGUUAAUAUCUCUUACGAUGACGGUACUGUUUGUAAGCUCCGGCUAACUCCGUGCCAGCAGCCGCGGUAAU